rnacentral:tRNA from 1 species
AAGGAUUUAAGUUAAUAUAAACUAAUAGCCUUCAAAGCUAUAAAUAAAGAACAAGUCCUCCUUUAAGCCUUA